AAGGGGAAUCCGACUGUCUAAUUAAAACAAAGCAUUGUGAUAGUUGGAGAGCAAUGAUGACACAAUGUGAUUUCUGCCCAGUGCUCUGAAUGUAAAAGUGAAGAGAUUCACCCAAGCGCGCGUAAACGGCGGGRGKAACUAUGACUCAUCUUCAAGCACUAAAUGUGAGCAUAGAACAUUGCCAUAGCUUCGGGGCUAUUACAAGUCUGUCUCCUGCCAGUGAUAUGAAUACCUCAAAGAAUUUUAUAGUGAAAUUUAAUUCGAUCAAGCAGAGGUAAUGGCGGGRGRAGAGKAUGAAAUAUGAAAAGGAAAAAUAUUAGCCAAGCCUUGGAUGGGGGUCGAUCCCGCAAAAAGGGAGCCCAAAAUUCCU
rnacentral:rRNA from 1 species